ACAACACACACACUCAGCUGAUACAGGGACAUCAUGGUUCCAUUGCAGAUCCAGCUAUCAAGGCUGGGACAAACUGAGUUCCAGGCCUCCAGCCCACCAGGCCUGUACCCCGCAAGACACUCCUUUCCCACCUGCUUUGGUGAACAGAGGUGAGGUUGAAGAGGAGGCACCCAAUCAGGGCUCCACCCACCCAGGGCAACUGUCAGCCUCCAGCUCGAAGAACAGCAUGCCCGAGUCAACGCCUUCUUCUGAAAUUUAUCUAAAUUUCAACUCUUCUAAAUAGACAUCAUUCAUUAGA